GCGUAAGCGCGCGCAGGCGGUUUCUUAAGUCUGAUGUGAAAGCCCACGCCUCUACCGUGGAGGGUCAUUGGAAACUGGGGAACUUGAGUGCCCUAGAGAAAAGCGGAAUUCCACGUGUAGCGGUGAAAUGCGUAGAGAUGUGGAGGAACACCAGUGGCGAAGGCUUUCUCUUUGGUCUGUAACUGACGCUGAGGCGCGAAAGCGUGGGGAGCAAACUUGAUUACAUACCCUGGUAGCCCACGCCGUAAACGAUGAGUGCU
rnacentral:rRNA from 1 species